ACUUGGCUUUUUUUGGCGGGGGGGGGGGGACGGGACAUGUUUUUGUUUCUUUGGGCGGUUUUCUUGGUGGUUUUUUGUUUGUUUGUUUGUUUGUUUGUUUGUUUUUGCUAGGUUGGUUGGUUUUGUUUUUCAAAACCCCCAGAAUCCUGGGAGAGAUUCAAGGCAUGAAAGGGGAAUUACUGCAUAAGAAUUUGAAGCAGGAAUGGAUUGAUCCUCAUCAAUAAAAUUCAGGUGAUGAACCCUGAGAGCAACUAAGUCAUUACCAUGCUGCUGUGUGCUUGUAGAGAGGACCUGCAAUAUUUUCUCAGUGACCCAAGAGACAACUUGAAGGGAAACCAUAAUAGAAGCUGGAAUUUGGGUCUCCUCCUGCCUGUCUGUGGCUCAGCACUGCAAGGGCAGGAUGUGAUGAGUGGACAGAAGCUGUUUGGAGGAUACUUGCCCAGGAUGUUCUGUGUGGCCUAGAGAGACACUCCUGCCCCUGCCCUGGGGGUUUUACACUGCACAUCUGUCAGACCUGUGAAUUUGUACAGUGUGCCAUUCACAUUCCCUGAACAUGAUUCCCUCACCCAGGGUUUUCUCCUGGGAAGCUGAAAGGCAGCAAGAGGCCUCAGAGAAAAGGAAAACAAUUCUUAUCUCAUUUGCUUCUCCUGUGUUGUGCUCAUGUGGAAUGUGUUUGGAGAUUGUUUACCCACAGGUGAUUGUUCCAUUGGAUUGUGCUGGGAGUUGUUUUCACUCUUUGGUCAAUCAGGGCCAGGCUGUGUCAGGACUCUGGAGAGAGUCACGAGUUUUCAUUAUUAUCUUUUUAGUAUUCUGUAAGUAUCCUUUCUGUAUUCUUUAGC